UGUUUAAAGCAAUCGAUGUAAUUAGCCGUUCCCGCUCAAGUUUAACCAUCCGCUUCACUUCAGCUCGUUCCCCUUUGAUCACUUGUCGUGGUCUGAUCGCUUCAGUUGCACUCGGUUCAUCUGCGACGAUCCAUCGCAUCGUCGACAAUUCAACUUUCAGCUGUUCAGUUGUGCUCAGUUCGUAACUGGUCUGAACUGAUCUCGAACGUAUAUUUAUUCUUCAGACUCCAAGCAAUGACGACGCAGACACGUGAAAAUGUGAAAGUUGAAAAAGUGACAGAGGCUUACGGCCUUUCCGAAGGUCCACAUUGGGACCAUCGUACUCAAAAAUUGUAUUUUGUUGACAUAUACAAUCAGUAUAUACGCAGACUAGAUCCUGCAACAGGUGUUGUAACCAGCGCACACAUAGGUCAUGGGACUGUAGGAGUUGUUAUACCUGUGGAUGAACCUGUUGACCAACUUAUAGUAGGUUCAGGAAAAGAUGUUGUUCUUGUUAAAUGGGAUGGAGACAGCAAUGAAUCUAAGGUACCAGUCAAAGUGUUGUGUUCACUUGACUCUCCUCAGGCUCAAACGAGAAUUAAUGAUGGAAAAGUGGACUCAGCUGGAAGAUUUUGGCUCGGUACUAUGGGUAACGAAAUCAAUGGAAAGAUAGCUCCCAAUUUAGGAACAUUGUAUCGUGUUGAUAAUGAUCUUGAACCAGAAAAGGAAAUAUCACCUGUUACAAUAAGUAACGGAUUGGCAUGGAAUAUUGAAGACGACACUUUUUAUUAUAUUGAUUCACCUACUCGUCAGGUUACAGCGUAUGAUUACAAUCCUAAUAAUGGAACAAUAUCUAAUAAGAGGAUUGUAUUCGAUCUCAAUAAUACUAAUUUGAAAGGACUUCCCGAUGGAAUGACUAUAGAUGCAGAUGGCAAUCUUUGGAUAGCAUUAUUUGGUGGAUCUCAAGUUAUUUGUGUGGAUCCGAAAACAAAAAAAAUAUUAUUCAAAGUUGAGCUUCCAGCUGAAAACGUAACCAGUGUCGCAUUCGGCGGUCCGCUCCUAGAUACUUUGUACGUGACCACAUCUGGCUACAAUAUAAGUGCAGAGCAACGACAAGCGACUCCUCACGCUGGUGCUCUAUUCGCGGUGACAGGCCUAGGAGUUCAUGGAAUUCUUGCAAAUUCAUUUAUGAAGAUGGAUUAAAAGACUAAGAAUUUUGCAAGAAAUAUCAAUAAAUAUCUUGAUACUUCUUGCGAAAAUAUACGUUCAUUUGAUUAGGUUGAAAAAACCGACACUUGACACGAUUAAUUAAAUUUUGAUUUGUAAAUAUAAAAUACCUUGUUAACAUGAUUACGUAGUAAGUUUUUGAAUCAUAACUUGUUUGCGUUUAUGCCUUGAUAGAUAU